ACCAUAAAAUGGUGCUCAUAAGAAAGUCACAGGUCUGACAAUUAAGCUGCACCAGGAUUUCACGGUUCGGAUUUUCCCUUUCUUAGCUGGGCUGUUCAUUUCCUUACAAGCAGGAAUGCUGUUUGCUCUCCAAGCCGAGACGAAGAAGAGAAGCGAGAACAGUAAGAGGUUUUGUAGCAAAUCAACCGAACCUUGUGUCAGUGAGAUCAAAAUAGAACCAACAGGAACUUUAAUCUGUCUCUGCUACAGAGAGAUGAAAUCAGUGCAGGCUCCAUAAAAUAAGAGUAAUGGAAACUGUUCACGGUUAUGAGUAUCUGCAACAACAAAGUGUCUCCCAUUAAGUGAUGCACUGAAGCUGUGCAGAUGAAGUUAUAUGCUCUGGUACCACAACGAGGUACAAGUCAACCAAAAAGGAGUCUUUUUUCAUAGGUUUUGAGAGCCAAGAUCUGAAGACGUCUAGAAACACAAUUUUGACACAAAGACUUUGGUUUCAUGUACAUUUUCCUCCGUCUCCCCAUUUCAACUGUAUUGACACUGCGUUGAGCCAAUUGUUUUUUCCCACCAUUUCCACCACCUUUGCCACGGAUUUCAAUUCUGAUCCUUUUCACAUUCAUCCGUGCAUACAAUAAAUAUUUAAAGGACCUUCAUAUUCAUUGACUCAAACACACGGAUUCCAAAAGAACAGCGUUUUAUUUGCUUAAAAACAUCUGUUAUAUUCACAAACAGAGCCACUGCCUAAAUUUACAGUCGUAACAAAAUAAUUAGAAAAAUAAUUAGAAAACAAGCAUUUCUGAAAGACCACUAUUUGGAUGAGACAUCCAGACUAUCACACUAGGCUGACAAACGUACUGAAGACAAAACCUUCAGACAGUGACUAUCAUGAAAAGCCACACACUUUAAAACGUAUCUGCCCCUGACGAAUCUGAAUCCCCAUGAAUGCUACUUAGACUUUGUGUCUGGUCAUCUAUAUUCAUGGAAGGCAGUUUCACUGACAUCCUUUCUGCAGAAACGUGUGAAUGGAAAUGUGGGACAACACCUUCUCCUAGGAAAAAAAAAAACAAAAAGCAGAACAAAACCACGUUAUUUGCAGCCUACAACAUAGACAACUUAACUGUACUGAAUUCAUCUCCAUAUCGCAUCACCCCAUGGGAAUACAAAGACACAGACAUGCUCACUGUCUGCAGUUUUGAGGCAUUUCAGAGUAUGCUGAUUUAGCCAUCACGGUUUUCUUGAUAAGACAACAAAGGCAUGAAUAUCUCUGCAUACACAGGACGGAUUGUAUUUACAUACACCUACCUACACAUGUAUACAUGCUGUGAAAAGUCACAGCAGCGCUCAGUCCCCAUCUGGGAAGCACUGGAGGGAGAGAAAACAACCUGCAGGCAGGUACCAGAGGUAAAGGGGAGGGUGAUGGGCAGAUGUUACUGCAUUUAUCCCCAGGAAGGAGACGAGAUGCAGUCAGUUUGUGGAGCUGAGGGAGCAAGGCAUGAAUCAGGCUACAGACAGGAAAAAUGGAUGAGUGGUAUAGCAUUCACAGAACCAGAAAGAGUGUUUUGAGAUUGCAGUUGUCCUUGGGAUAUUUAUUUUAAAUGCAGCAGCUACAAGCAAAACAAACAUACAUGAGUCUGUGCUCAACAGCAAAGGCUCUUCUGGAGUUUGUUCUUAUUCCAAUGAGCUAUAACAAUUCUCCCUUCCUCUGUCACAGGCUAGGUAAUUAAAACACUAUUUUCUCAAUGAAAAAAGAAAGCUAGGCUUCCUUUCACCCCACUUAAUUAUCUACUAUGUCACUGUAGUGGUAAUCUGCUUUCAUCUGCCUUGUAGCGAAGCACGCUCCAAACGACUAAUUAAAAUAACAAAAACCCACUGCUAAAAUAAAAUUUCAUUGGGUGUUUUUCAUGCUGGAGCAGCUGCCAACAGCCUAGGAAGUCAAACACAAAUGAAGCGAGAGAUGGUAAAGCCAGUUCAUGGAGCAGCCUGUGCCAGCUGAGCCUCCUGCACCUCGGGAUGGCAGCAAUAGCACAAGAGCACGCGUGUGACCCCUGGGAACCAACAUCACCUGCCUGCCACAGCUGCUCACGCGCUAUGCAAGAAGCAUUGGCUGUAGUUUGACCACCGUCCUCACUUCUUGGACAGCCUUCUUCACUCCCUUCCUGAAACCCUCAGCACAGCGCAGAUGCCAAGGCUUGUACUGGCAUGGGCCCAAGCAAAUCUAACACAGGAGCAGUAAGAUGGCAUGAGAAAUUCAACAUCUUCUGAACGUGAUUCCAAAGCACAUUACAGUAACACCACAAGGAUGUGCAAGUAACAUAUGCGUUUUGUUUUCCCAGGAGUACUUCCAUGAGCUUAGUCUGUAACCAUGUUCGCAUGACAAAAAUAGGUUAUUCAGAAGGGGAACAGAAGAAAAGCAAAGCGUUUAUUUGGGUAGACGUGAAGCUGACACACAGUAAAGACGUGGAUGUGUAAUGCCCAAGGAAGUCCUGUAAAUCAUCCAAGACACCAAAGCAACCCUUCAAUUCUGUAUGUAGGUUGAUGCUUUCAAAGCUUGACUUUGUUAAUAAUUUCCACAGCCAUGUCAUAUUCCAUGAGGUCAUUGUUUCAACAGCUGUUUUCAGGUUUGUAAAAAAAAAGGGGGGGGUGGGGAGAAAAUAAGAAUAUUCCCUUAUCCCAAAGGCUCUGUAGUAACUUUGCAAGCAUUUGACUCCGGGGUGCUGAAAGACCCUAUGAUAUCAGUCUACAUUCUUCUUAACGCGUACUCUAAUAUAUUUUACAGACAUACUGCAGUUCAAUUUUAUGACAGAUGUAAAAUGCUAACAGGACAGAGAAAUCAACUGAAUAAUUCCAUCUGCUUGCUGAGAAAUUAGCAGGUCCUGAGUUAUCCAAAUAUCCCUAAAGAAAGGUCUAAGAAAUAACCAAAGCAAACACUUCUCCUCUUGAAAUCUGGUCUUUGACUUUGUUAAGAUACAAGAAAAUACAGAACCUAGAUUUUCAGCACUUUCACUAUAAAAUAUGAUGGAUAUCCUGUUUCACCUACUCAAUAAGCUCGGCUCUAUGACUGUAACUUCCCAAGACAGAAAGCUGCUAGUCCUACCACUAUGCGGGCCCGAAGAUGAAGCUGUUACAUUACCCCCACAUGUGCUUUAUCAUUAUCACCUCUCACUUAUCUAACCUCUGGCAUGUACUGUGCACACAUACAGAGAUGUCUAUGUGGAUAAAUACACAAACACAAGCAUGCAAGCUUAAAUGCUUCUUUCUAUGUUCACAUACAAGCUUUUAAGCAUACGCAUUUUCCAGUGUCUAUACUGAGCUUUUGCUGUCCAUCAGUGAUGGAGCUUGGACAGUCCUUGUCCAGGUCCUUAACAUGAUACUCCAUUUUAUUUCUUCCCCCCAUAGGAGAACAGCUCACAACCAACCCUAAGAUGCUUUCCUCUUACACACCAAACCCUUCACGGUCAUAAAUACGCAAAUAGCAUUGGUGCUUAUAACCUUCUGAUACGCUAUAAAAUAAACAUGGAAAAUUCCUCCAUUUCCAAAGCAGGGCAGGGCAGGACGAUUGGUGAUCUUCACAGCUUUUUCCCUUUAGAAGUUCUGGAAGCACUCAAAACAAUUCUGUAAUCAUGUACUUAGAUGUAUUUAUAAAACUUUUCCUUGUUAAAAUCCAAUAAACGGAAUGAGUGAUCCCAGGUGACCUCCACUUCUCCGAAUUCAUUGUCACCAUCUAAAAGAAUACUUUCAUAUAAACUGUGAAAACUGACACCCUUCCUACGUGUGUGUAAGGGACUCUGAAUGGUACAAACUCAACGGUGACUGAAAACAUCUUGAUGACCCACUGAUGGAAAAUGUCAGAUCUGCGAUCAGGGAUUUUGCCUGUGCUUGGCAAUCUAUAACAAAUUCGUGUACAGUACUAAAUUUCCAGAUCUUUGUUUAACAGAAACAUAAAAAUUAAUGGUGUGUCAACCAUCCAGUGACCUGUGAAGGGAGUUUUUCUCUAAGACAUACCGUCACACAGAGAGUAUGCUAUAUACAAGUGUAUCGUGAAUGUGUGCCAAAUGGAAAAGGAAUUAAACACACUGAAGGGAGGUUUUGUUACUCAUACCAUAUGGCAACAAUAAGAACAAAGAGAAAUGUUUAAAUCUUUCUUUUUAAAUUCUUAGAUUUGGCAAAAUAAAAAGACUAAACAAGUCUGACUUUUAAGCCAAAUACAAACCACGUGCUUUAACUCCUUACGGUCGGCGUCCAUACGUUAAAUAAAGUUUCCAUUUUUAAUUUAUCAGGAGGUAAAUCGGACCCUUAUCUUAUCGAUAAAAGGACUUAUCUUCAUACACAAUAAAUAGGGAGGAUUGGGACCCAGGUUAUUGUUGUAGUAUAAAACCGGAACCGUAAUUACUCUAAUUAACUGCAUAUUACUUCCUGAAAUUUAUAAACAACCAUCACCCUCCAGAACCCUCCCUCUGUUCUCUCUUCAAUGUAAAAGCUGCAGCAGCUAACUUCUAGAGCAAGAAUAACUUUCCAAGCAUAUGAAAAAAAACAAGUCCACUGCAGAACUCCCAUUCCUUUAAUAGCAUGGGUUGAUAUGAAUGGCUUGUUUCUUCUCCUGCCAGGUUCCAGCUGCUUCACUUUGUUUAUUACCGACUUCAAAGUUUAAAAUGCUGUCCUGUCCCAACAAAUAACUUCCUCCAGAUGGCAUUAUCUCCAGUGUUCAGAGCACUGGGGAUAGCACAGCACCUGCAAAUCUGUAACUCGGCAUCUUAAAACCCCCCAAUGAAAGUGCCUUAAUCAUAGAAUCAUAGAAUCACAAAGGUUGGAAAAGACCCACAGGAUCACCCAGUCCAACCAUCCACCCCUCACCAACAGUUCUCACUAAACCACGUCCCUCAACACAACGUCCAAACGUUCCUUGAAUGGCUCCAGGAUUGGUGACUCCACCACCUCUCUGGGGAGCCCAUUCCAGUGCCUGACCACUCUUUUCAGAGAAGUAGUAUUUCCUAACAUCCAGGAAAUGCUACUUCUUUGACAGACAAUAAUAGUUUUUACUCCAUCCUUCCCCCAUUUUAUCCACUCAUUUUCAUACCUAGUUGUACAGUUACCAAGCACAGCAGGGCAAGAGGCAGUAUUGUAUUUUCUGCAAAAUCAAGAUUAUUCCAGACUUAAUGGGUUGAUAUAUAUCAAUAAGAAACAGGUGUAUUUUGAUGUAAGCAGUCCCGAAGGCUAAACUGAAAAGAGAAAAUAUACUGCAAUGUCAGUCAUGCUGCUAAUUAUAUUAUAAGAAACAGUAUUUCCAGUCAAGUCUCAUGUCAAGCUAUACCCUGUGUACUGAACACAUAACUCAAUGUUUCUAGAAUUUAAUGGCUUGUACAGUUGAAAGUUGAUAUGGUAAGGAACUGGCCAGAUGGCAUCAAGAUGGCAAAGAAUGCAACAUUCUCAGAAGGGAGCACAGCCAUCAGUGGUUUCCCAAAUAACCCAGUCAUUUGGACAAAAUUAUUCUCCCUUCAUUAGAAACCAUAGGUCACAGAAUCACAGAAUGGCCUGGGUUGGAAGGGACCUCAAGGAUCAUGAAUCUCCAACCCCCUGCCGGGCAGGGCCAUCAACCUCCCCAGGUCCUCCACUCUUCUAGCCCUGGUCCACUUCCACCUUGAAUUCAUAUGCAUAUUUAUGCUACUAUGGAGAAGAUGUCUUUUCCCAGCUCAGCCAAAAACGAAGCAAAAAUGUUUAAGCAUGUGUGACUGUGAUCUCACUGCUUAGCAGAGGGCUCUUAAAGGCAGGUCAGAUCUCCGGCACGUCUCUAACCAUGGGGUUAGAAACACAAAAGCAAGAGAACAAGAUGCUCUGCAAAUGCAAGCAGUCUUGUUCUCUAGCUCAAAAACAGAUCAUCCAUAACUUAAAUGCUUUCAUGACAAACAGAAAAUUCUCUAGGCAAACCGAGGCCAAAUUUCCAGGGCUGAGUUACACGAAAGGGAUAGAUUUACAAUUAAAACACAUCAGAUAUUCUACAGAAAUGGACUGAUAUCUGCAGGAUUUGAGCCAAAAAAUAGCUGGAUCUGAAAGCAUGAGUCUACUGCUCGAGCUGAAAAAACAGUUUCACUCUUGAAAACUUCAGCCAACUCAUAAAAUCAAAUAAGUGGGCUACAGCCACCAGAGGAGACAGAAAACUCCAUACUGUGACUUCAGCUGAAGGUUUGACCUAAACUUGGCAAAUUCUAUCUUCACAUGGCCUAGUGUACUUACGGAAAUUGUGUGUACAUAUACACAGAAAAUAAACACGCAGGCACACACACACUCUUUUCUCUUUUUUGUUUGUUUGUUUAAACUCCAAUGUAUAUCCUGGCUAUAAACAUUUGGGAAAAGGAAAUAAAUCAGAUCCUGAGUCAGUAUGGGAGGGUGGGGUACAGGCGAAGCAGCCAACACGUUUUACAAAGCAGAAUAUUUGAAAAUGGUUUUUCCUCCUCUCAAGUCUGAGUUCAAGGUUCAGUGGUUUUCCAAAACAUGUGAUAUUCCCACCAAUAGUAACACUAAACAGAACAAAAACGAGGAAUACAUAAAAUAAACUAGAACCAGAUUGUUCAAAAUCCUAACGGAGUUGUUGGAGACCGGUAGGGAAGGGCAGACAGAAAGCAGCUCCAAAAACAUCUAGGAAUGAGAUUGCAGAGUUUACUAAAUAAAUAUUUCCUUUUGGUGACUAAAAUCUACUCUCCUCCCUUCGAUCUGACAUACUUUGUGCUGUGCAAUAUCUCACUGUUCAACAAUGAAGUUCCCUGGCUGUAACUCUUGCUGUUGUUUCCCAGCAACUCGCUUCCAGAAGAUGUGCAACGAUCUUUCCACGGAGAGAAGGGGUCAUCUGCAGUAGACCUGGAAGCAGCGAGUUCUAUUCAGAAGUAGGAGGCAAUGAACAAACAGACAGCAGAAGGAGGAGGUCCAUUACUGGUACAGAAACUCUGGGAAAACACCACGAAAACAAGCAUCUUGUGCAAGGCCUGGGGGGAGCAAUCUCAGUCCACAAAAGAACCCAGAAGGACACGUACCUACCUCUAGAUACAGGAAGCUGCUGGGAAAUAAAAACUGACCGACCACAUAAACUCAAGUAAGAGCUUUAAAGAAUUCUUGCUGAGGACCGAGUUCAACAAAAAAUGCAUUCUGUUCACUGUACACACGACACCAAUGGGAAUAAGGGCCAGUUCAAGUUCUAAGUUACCAUUACUUGGGUAAUAGUUUCAAGCUGCAAGGCACAGCUGUAUAGGCCCAGCCAGACAGGCUAUCACAGCAAUGCUUUGAUAGCAUGGGGCCCUUAAGUGUCAGGAUAUAGAAAAGGCAGCAGUUGUUGGCUGUGAAAACAGUCUGAUACAAACCAGAUGGGGACUUACUUGAUGGGCAACACAAAGGAAAACAAUUGGCUCAUUCAACAAAGUCAGGCCACUGCCCCAGAGAAUUAACAGAAGACAAUAACAGUCAACCAGAGUUGAUGCAAACAAGAAACAGCCAUGUGGUUACGGUUUAAGGAAUUGUUUCUCCUCAGACUAAACAUAAAGUUUUGAUUACUAAUUCUUAUAUUCAUUAAUUUCAGUCUGGUUUACAAGCACCCUCUUCCUCCAAAGCCUUCCGUGUCAUUCAUUUACGCGGCACCAGCCUUCGAGCACCUCCUUAACCCCCAAAAAUCACACGGCGAGGCAGGCCGCGUUCAUCCAACGGCCCCUGAAGAACGCCAAGACCACAGAGAGCUUCCAGAGCUGUGUCAGAACGGCACAGCAGAUGCACGGCACGCGGUGCGCUAUCGGACACAAACACUGGCACGAACACGGCUGCAAAUUUACUGAUUCGUUCUGGUUUUAAGCGGACGGAGCCCAGCGGGCCGUGUGUUGGGCAGCCCAGUCCUGUGAAGAGCUCUGUUGGUGUUAGUUAUUUUACUCCAUCAGAAGCAAACACCACAUCAGUUAUGUUACCACAUCACGGCUUUGUCCGUCAGGCUACAGUUGGAAGUCUGUUAAAAUAGCUAUUAUUAAACUUUUUUUUUUUUUUUUGGAGUCAUCAGAAAUCUUAAAAUGGGUUAUUUCAGUCAUAACUGGAAAAAUCCCCAAGCCAGCCCCUUUUAGAAGCACGCUCGUAGAAGAUUAUGGGCCAAAAUCUUAAUUGCUCUUGCUGUUUUAUUACAGGAAAUAUAAAAGUGACAUGUGCAAAGGUAUUUUGAUUACAAAUUACUUACAGAGAUUGCACAAUAAGUCAGACCACUGAGGGCCUUCUGCAAUUUCACUCUCAGACUGAAAACAUCUGAACUCUCUUUGCUUACACUCCAGAAUAUUCUCUCUGCUGAGCUCUGCGCUGUGGUGCUCUCUGUGCGUGCACAAAGUUGGAUGGCACACACUGAAGGACAGACACACACUUGGGACACCCAACUCGGUGCACCUACAAAUCGCAGUGACACACAGACGUUCCCAGGAUGCCUUCUGAAAUCACAUCAUCCUGGGGUCUGUCAGCUCCAGCACGCACCCCCUGAGCUUCACUGCUGCUGCAGGCUGCUCACUGCUAGUUGACAGGCUGCCAAGCAGGGCUGCAUGAUGUAAACUUCUCCUAAAGAUACCACUCUGACCUACAGAAUCAUCUGGGUUGGAAAAGACCUUCAAGAUCACCAUCCCAACCACCAACCAACUAUGGGUAUGCAUGGAGUCUACUCUUUGUAAGCGCUUCACUUUCCAUGCAGGCUUGCAAAAAGCAGCUGAGUUAAAGAGCUGAAUGGAUGGCUCUCAUUUAACAGCUCGGCACAGGGCAGACAGAGCUAGAGGGUUUGUCCUAAAAAAAGACAAAGAGCUGCUGAACUUACGAAAUACAAAGUCAGGGGCUAAACUGCUGUCUUAACUGCUGCUAUCUCCUAGCUGCAGGGGUGCUCGUGCCUGUGAGCAUGGACUAAAAUGCUGCUUUGGCUGCAUUCAAAACCACCAGCACAGAUCGUAGGUAGAAAAGUACAUUUUUGCUUCAGCUUCCUGCCAUAAGCACAGAGCCAACGCUUGAACAAAGCCGUUGUGUGCUGUGCUCUGUCUGAGCUAAAACAUCUCUCCAGCAGAAUCGUGAGGCUUAUUUCCAAGAGCGCAGCCAAAUUCUUGAAGCCUCCAAAUGAAGGGGAGGGUUGUCACAUCGUAGCAGAGAAGGUUUUGCCUGCAGUGCUGCUAUUAUUCAUUUUUCACAUCAUCUAUAUCGAGGUCAGAACGCAUUUUUUACAUAGAGCUGCAACUUUGCUCGGAGUCUCUUUGUCAGGCUGUUGCUAGAUUACGAACCUCAGGAACAGAACAGCCUUUAUCAGACACUACCCGCAGAGAUACCGCCUCUUAGCCCUGCAUUUAAAAGCAGAUGGGAGAGGAGCAAAAAUCUCUUUAAACCCUACAUCUGCCUGCACAGACAGACCCCAGUGCUUCUAGCUCUUGUAAAAACCAGUUGGGUAAAAGUGGGUUUCGACAGCGUUCGGCAGAGACCGCCUCCACAUAGGCUGCACCUAAAGGCAGCUGGGGCAGCAGAGAACGGCCGCCUGUCCAUUAAGUGAGGUCUCUCAACAGGAAACUCUCUCCCCUUCUUUUCUUUCUGGUAUUUUUCUUUACUCAGGAAGGAAGCUCCCUCUCCAGAAACAAGCAUUCCCUGUGUAAUCUCGCUGCUCACAUGUCUCCAGGAUGGCUUCCAAUGACUCAGACGAGCAACAUGCACUCUACAGACGCUAAUGGUGCAUUUACGCUGUAACACAAGCUAGUCAAUAUUGCCCAUUUAUUAAUUGUGAUUUACAUAACAGCGCACAAUGGCAGCUGUUAAGUAAAUAAAAUAAUUUUCUCAAGAUCUGUAAUUAUGGUUUUACGAUUAUAAAAACAAACUAAAUAACAGAAAUGGAGCAAGCGCCAGCAAAUUGCAUGCCUUCUAUUUCUAUUGCAGAUCCAGUGGCCUGACAAGGGACAGAAACUGCAGCUCUUUUACUGCCUUUAAAACAAACACAGCCCUGCCUAAGCCUCGUGAUAGGUACAGUGCAUGAAAUGAGGCCACGAUGCACAACCCUGAGAUUAUUACUUUACUGUAACAAGCAGGAUGGAGGUCAGCAGGUCAAACCAUAUUAAGUCUAACCUGCUUUCAAUGCGCCAUUUUGACCCAAAGCAUAAAUGCAGUUUUCCCAGACUCUGGGUGGCCUGCGAGAUGCACGUUUCCAUUGUUUGUGCAUGGCUGAUGAUUAUUUUGCACUGAAGAUACGUACCUAUCCGACCCUGAAACAGAAAGCGUUAACAGAGAGUCAAAGUUGUGCUGCACACAAAGAGAAACAGUGACCUCCCUGCAGCCAAGGCGCUGGGAAAUAGAUGCUUCUCACUGACCUGCUGGGCAUUUUGUGUCACACACUGCAACUUUCACUUAGGUUGUUUAGACCUGUCCAUAAGAACAGCUCUUCCUGCUCUAAAAAGCAAAACAGAAGUUUUAGAUCAGAGAAGUAAAGCAGUACCUAUACGACGAGAGAUGCAAAGGCUCUCAAUCUGAAUUAAUUUUUUCUAGGUGCACUUCUAUUUCUUCCCCUGAGUGACAGCACCCCUGAUGAAAACCAGAGCACAGUAGUCUGCAGACAAAACAGAACCCACCUCCAUUAUUUAUCACCGCUCCUUGCAAACGCAGCCACCAGAAGCGUAUCUGCAACAGGUAUUUCAGAGAAGAGGAUCUGUAGCAUUUAAUAGUAUUUAAUUAGAGGCAGCCUUUGUAUCACUGCAGAGAGAAGAAGGUACAGGAAAAACUUGGCCGUCGUUCAAUGCAUAAAGCAGGAGGGCUGCUUAGUCCUGGAGGAUUCAGAAAAGCAAGUGAAUAAAAUACCCAGCCAACAGCACUGCUCCUGAGCAUGAGAACUGCCAUCGAGUCAUGCAUUCUCACAAUAUAAUCAGCAAUAAAAUUAAAAAAAACCUAAUGUUACAGUUUGACUGUGGAUACCAAUCAUCUCCGUAUCCACAUUAUUGGCUCGGUAGGUUUUAUUAAGAACAACUUCACAGCUACGCCUCUGCUCUGUUAGCAGUGCAAAAAUUUACAAAGCAUUGAGAAAGAAAACGAAACAGAUUUAAUGGCUGAGAAUGAUAGCAUUUGUAAAUCUCCUUUCCCCUUUAUAAAAGAGGUUUGCAAGCAAAGAACUGUGCAUUAUUCAUCGCUCACGUUAAGCUGCCUCCACAUGGCACAUACGCUGUCACCCUGGUAAUUUCUCUUCUACCCAGGCACUACACAAACAGCUGGCUCCUUUGGGUUUUUAUGCAGUGCUUUAAAAGCUAAAAUGAGAGCCCUCCAUGAACAGGUAAAGCUGAAGGGUGUCCAGCUGCUUCUGCCAGAGAUCAGCACAGCCAGCGCAACCGGGACGGCAGAAGCUGUUCGUUCUGUUGCUUUGCCCUCAGCCAUGCAAAAGCUACUAAAUUAUAAAGGGCAACAUCUGCUUUCCCUGCCAACCAGCAAAAGAAAACAAACCCAGUGUGUGCUGAGGACAGAAAGCCUACAUUUCUCCUAUCGCCGUGCUGUAAAUGUUUCUUCAAGUUGAAAUAUGUGUUUGUAAUACUCCUUGUCUUCAUCUGUCACCAUACGGUAUCCAUGUAAUUUGUCACCAGCCUCAAAGACUUCCUGGUCUGAUACCGAAGCUUUUUAUAAAAGAAAUGCAAUUUUCACACUGAAAAAGAAACGUGAGAUAAGAGGCCUCCUUAAAUGACUGUCUUAAAUGCCUGUUAACCCAAUCCAGGAAGGCAGUCUUUAGAGAUACUAUAGUGGAUCUGCCAAGUGAAGCCGCUCAGAGCCAGCUGCGGGUCCAGCUGAGACAGCUGGCACUGAUGGACCAGGCUGCAAACUGCAGGGACUGAGGGUGCAAUCACCUUGUUCAGCAGGUUACCUUUGCAGGCUGUGAUCUCUAGCAGAGGCUGUUGCAUACAUAGCAACCUCGAGCAAAUGCUCUGCUGAAUAAAAAACAGCACUAUUCAUGGAAUCACGGAAUGCCUUGGGUUGGAAUGGAUCUUAAAGAUCGCUGAGUUCCAACUCCCUGCUGUGGGCUGGGAGCUCAGCCUGCCCAGGGCCCAUCAAUGGCCUUGGGCACCUCCAGGGAUGGGGCACCCACAGCUCUGGGCAGCAGUGCCAGGGCCUCACCUCCCUCCAAGUGAAAAAUUUCCCCCUAACAUCUUAUCUAAACCUCCCCUCUUUAUUUUUAACGUCAUUCCUCAGAAAGUAUUUUGUUAUAAUGACAUAGUGAGGCACAUCUUUAGAAGCAGUAGAAAUCUCGCUUUAACUCUGUCAUUCCUGCUGGAGAACAGGCACAUGAAUUAAAGCAUUACAAGAAGCAAAUCUACUGCUUCUCUGCAACAUAAAGGCAGUAGGAAGGUGGUGUGUAAAGGGACUUCAUGCUCUGCAUUCAACUGAGCAGCAAGUUCAUUCUGAAGAGAGACUCUUCUGAGUAUCUGUGCAACACACAGGCCCCACAACAGCUCAGGGUGCUUACUUUCUAGAUGCACAUCAGUUCCUUCUUAUUAAACCGUGGCACAGAGCUGUGGAACCACUAAUUUGUGAGAAACUUCUCCCUCCAGAGAAGAGCUAACUGGAAACAGCCCUCAGGCUGAUGUAAGCAUUGAGUACGUGGGGAGUCUCUGUCCUUAGGUGGCUUGCCCGAGCCCAUUAAUUUGUGUGUGUGUGUGUCCCCCAUUUAUAUAAGCAAUGUUUGUAUGAAAGGGGAAAGCAGGUCAGCCCAGUCGGCUUGCUACCAUCUGCUUUUAUUCAGAGUUACUCAAGAUCAGUGCCAGUGGGAUCAGUGCCCGUUUAGGGGGUUUUAUUGUGUGUAUUUAUUUUUUGCUCUUUACAAUGAAGGCAACAGCAAUUACUGUAAGUUUGUAAAAGUGCACACAAAUCAUAAUACACAAUACAAAGCUGCUUCAGUCAGAUCCCAGCGUGUUUACAAAUCCUCCACAGGCUGUGAGAAAGACUGCUUUGGCACAACAACUUGGAGAGCCUGGUAAGGAGCAGCGUGUGAGUGUCUAGGAGAUCACAGACUGUAUGUGAUACUUGCUGUCAAGAGCACACCUUGCCUGCCAUGCACAGCAACUCCAACAGAUUCACCACCACAUGAGAAUUGUGCACAAAAGAAGCGGAUGAGCAUUAGGGAAAUUAGCAAAGCUGCUGUAACCUACUUGUAUGAAAUCCCUCUUUGCUCCUCGACAGGCUUACAAUAGGUGGAUUUAUACUACUGGAAAGUGGAGCUGGUAAAAAGAAAAAUAAUCAAAGAUUAAAAAGCCAGAAUGGAAAUAGAAAUUUCAGGCCCUCAGAUAGAAACACAUAGGAGUGGAUAUGCAGCACCAAGAGGUACUCUUCAGUUACAGAGAAUUCUGCCUAGAAUCUGCCUCAUCACCAAAGGUAGAAGAUAGAAAAAUAAACCCCACACAGAAAUAACAAAGCUUGAUAUUGACAGGGACAGCACAUUCCUCAGGGACCACCCUGGGUACCACGUGAUACUUUGAGGCAAAAA